GACGAACGCUGGCGGCGUGCUUAACACAUGCAAGUCGAACGGAAAGGCCCUGCUUGCAGGGUACUCGAGUGGCGAACGGGUGAGUAACACGUGGGUGAUCUGCCCUGCACUUCGGGAUAAGCCUGGGAAACUGGGUCUAAUACCGGAUAGGAGCCAUUUUUAGUGUGAUGGUUGGAAAGUUUUUUCGGUGUAGGAUGAGCUCGCGGCCUAUCAGCUUGUUGGUGGGGUAAUGGCCUACCAAGGCGGCGACGGGUAGCCGGCCUGAGAGGGUGGACGGCCACAUUGGGACUGAGAUACGGCCCAGACUCCGACGGGAGGCAGCAGGGGGGAAUAUUGCACAAUGGGCGCAAGCCUGAUGCAGCGACGCCGCGUGGGGGAUGACGGCCUUCGGGUUGUAAACUCCUUUCGCUAGGGACGAAGCUUUUUGUGACGGUACCUAGAGAAGAAGCACCGGCUAACUACGUG
rnacentral:rRNA from 1 species